AUAACAUUCAGAGUGCAUAUGCAUUUUGAAUCAAAAGUGGCCUCUACAUGUAGGCUACUGUUUGGGGAUGAGCCCGCGUACCAUUAGCUAGUUGGUGGGGUAAAGGCCCACCAAGGCGACGAUGGUUAGCUGGUCUGAGAGGAUGAUCAGCCACACUGGAACUGACACACGGUCCAGACUCCUACGGGAGGCAGCAGUAAGGAAUUUUGCGCAAUGGGGGAAACCCUGACGCAGCAACGCCGCGUGAGUGAUGAAGGCUUUCGGGUCGUAAAGCUCUGUCAAGUGGGAAGAAUCUGUACGAUAUUAAUACUAUCGUGCACUGACGGUACCACUGAAGGAAGCACCGGCUAACUCCGUGCCAGCAGCCGCGGUAAUACGGGGGGUGUAAGCGUUAUUCGGAAUUAUUGGGCGUAAAGAGCGCGUAGGCGGUCUUGUAAGUCAGAUGUGAAAUACCGGGGCUCAACCCCGGAAGUGCAUUUGAUACUGCAGGACUUGAGUAUGGGAGAGGGAAGUGGAAUUCCUGGUGUAGAGGUGAAAUUCGUAGAUAUCAGGAGGAACACCGGUGGCGAAGGCGACUUCCUGGACCAAUACUGACGCUGAGGCGCGAAGGCGUGGGGAGCAAACAGGAUUAGAUACCCUGGUAGUCCACGCAGUAAACGUUGAUCACUAGGUGUAGCGGGUAUUGACCCCUGCUGUGCCGCAGUUAACGCAUUAAGUGAUCCGCCUGGGGAGUACGAUCGCAAGGUUAAAACUCAAAGGAAUUGACGGGGGCCCGCACAAGCGGUGGAGCAUGUGGUUUAAUUCGACAACGCGAAGAACCUUACCUGGAUUUGACAUCCCGGGACCGCCCUUGAAAGAGGGAAAUGCCCUUCGGGGAGCCCGGUGACAGGUGCUGCAUGGCUGUCGUCAGCUCGUGUCGUGAGAUGUUGGGUUAAGUCCCGCAACGAGCGCAACCCUUAUCUUUAGUUACCAUCAUUUGGUUGGGGACUCUAAAGAUACUGCCCCGGUUAACGGGGAGGAAGGUGGGGAUGACGUCAAGUCCUCAUGGCCUUUAUGUCCAGGGCUACACACGUGCUACAAUGGACUGUACAAAGGGUCGCAAUCCCGCGAGGGGGAGCUAAUCCCACAAAGCAGUUCCCAGUUCGGAUUGGAGUCUGCAACUCGACUUCAUGAAGUUGGAAUCGCUAGUAAUCGUGGAUCAGCAUGCCACGGUGAAUACGUUCCCGGGCCUUGUACACACCGCCCGUCACACCAUGAGAGUUGGUUGUACCAGAAGUUGUUGGACUAACCCGCAAGGGGGGUAAACACCUAAGGUAUGGCUGAUGAUUGGGGUGAAGUCGUAACAAGGUA
rnacentral:rRNA from 1 species